rnacentral:misc_RNA from 1 species
AAAGUCGUAACAAGGUUUCCGUAGGUGAACCUGCGGAAGGAUCAUUCACACUUAAAGGAGUGUAUGGACAGCGCAAGCUGCUCAUCGCUCUGAAUCUCCAAACCAAAACCAAUAUGCUAUGUUCAAACCGACUUCCUUCUCUCUCUUUUGAGAGUCGGCAUGUUCAACUUUGGGUCGGAUAGUCUUCGCGGGCUGUCUGAUCUGAAUACCAAAAUCAACUGAUUUUAUCUACAAACACCCCCCGUCGUUGCUUGUGGCCCACUUUAACCGGUGCUGCUGCUUGUGAUUGUCAUUCUAGCCUAAGUCUGCUUCUCAUUGAAUUAAGCACUCAGUGUGGAAGCAUGUUCGACACAUACGUAACACUAAAGAAAUACAACUCUUUGCAAUGGAUAUCUUGGUUCUC